GAAGAAGGGAGGGCUCAAGGCGCCGCAGCCCAAUUUCGUAGGGAUCGCUGCUGGUGCUUACCACAGCCUUGCCUUGCGAGGUUCUCAUCGUUCAAUCUCUCUUCUCUUCUUUCAGUUCUGAUCAUCAUCAUCAUCAUCAUCAUCAUCAUCAUCAUCAUCAUCAUUUUAAAUAAUUGACAAUAUUACUGGUGUUUGAUGAAGAUUCUGCUAUAAACUUGGCACUAAUUCUAGUGUUUUAUGGAAAUUCUACCAAAAGCAAUAUCGAAGUUGUUAUUGUUAUCAAUGGAUCAAAAAACAUAAUUUAGAACGGUGCUCCAUGGGCUUCUCCUGAGAUUAUCUCAACCAUUACCUAUUCAUGGCUGCUUGAUCAGAUGUGAAUUACUUCUGGAUGGUAAAAUCGAGCAUCGAAACUUGCUAGUUUCUUCAUAUGCUAUCCACGUCCUUUCUAGGUUACAUCAAGACGUGUACUGUAAGCGCUUACCCCUUUAUAAGACCUUACAAUCAACUGGGGCUUAAUCCUGCUAAUGUUGCCUUUGAUCACUUAUGUAAUCAUUAGAUUUGUUCUAGAGCAAGUCAUUAAAAAUUUGUAUAAUUUUGAACAUUAUUUAGUUGGUCUGUAGGUUGGGUGCUGAAAGCAUACUCUCUGCAGGCACUUCUCUGGCACUACUGACAUCUAUGACUGACUAUGAUAGAUUAUGAGCUUAAAAUAUUUAUCAUGCCUCCCUUUUCUUUCAGCCUUAAUUUAUACCACUUUUAGUUUAAAGAUAUGAUAGCUUGGCUGGCAAUUCUGGUUCGCCAUCUUCCACUUAUUUUCGUCAUUUCCAUGAAACUAAACUCCUGUUUUUGGUGAAGAAUUGACACAGAUGGGAACCUUAUUGUCAGUCAAUGCCUCC
rnacentral:lncRNA from 1 species